rnacentral:rRNA from 1 species
AUACAGAGGGUGCGAGCGUUAAUCGGAAUUACUGGGCGUAAAGAGCACGUAGGUGGUUUAUCAAGUUGGCUGUGAAAUCCCCGGGCUUAACCUGGGCUGGUCAGCCAAUACUGGUAAACUAGAGGCCAAGAGAGGGUAGUGGAAUUUCCGGUGUAGCGGUGAAAUGCAUAGAUAUCGGAAGGAACACCAGUGGCGAAGGCGGCCAUCUGGCUCGGUACUGACGCUGAGGCGCGAAAGCGUGGGGAGCAAACAGGAUUAGAUACCCCAGUAGUCC